rnacentral:misc_RNA from 1 species
GAAAUGCGAUAAGUAGUGUGAAUUGCAGAAUUCAGUGAAUCAUCGAAUCUUUGAACGCACAUUGCGCCCUUUGGUAUUCCAAAGGGCAUGCCUGUCCGAGCGUCAUUUGUACCCUCAAGCUUUGCUUGGUGUUGGGCGUCUUGUCUCUAGCUUUGCUGGAGACUCGCCUUAAAGUAAUUGGCAGCCGGCCUACUGGUUUCGGAGCGCAGCACAAGUCGCACUCUCUAUCAGCAAAGGUCUAGCAUCCAUUAAGCCUUUUUUUCAACUUUUGACCUCGGAUCAGGUAGGGAUACCCGCCGAACUUAAGC